rnacentral:misc_RNA from 1 species
UACUCCGUGCACAGCAGAUUGCUGGUAAGGAAAAACAGUGAUAAUGACAGCAUGAUUUAGCAGUUGUUUCUCCUUAAAAAAUUGUGAAUUCCUAGCAAUAUAAUGUUGGAUGAUAAUAGUGCAGACAGCUAAUCAUAAUCAAUAUCCUAAUGCUUCCCUCUUGACUUCCUCAUGUACAAGCAAAAAGAAAGUGGUCUUAGACCAUGCAGUUACGUAAAAUGGAUCAAACAUUAGGUUUUAACAAGUAACAUUAGGUUUCUGUUGGGUG